CGUGUGGGGAGCCCUGUGGCAGAGCCUGCGGCCUAAGGGCCUAGGGUGACUGGCUCCCUGACCAGAGGACAAGGAUCAAGCGGCUCCCAGCAUCGCUGGGCUCCCAAGAGUUUGGAUGAGGGAGAAGUGACAAGAUGAUGAUGCCCAACUGUUGAUUUUCCUCCCUGGCAGUCUCUGAACCCUGCACCUGUGAGGAAGAAUCAGAAAAGCAACAUUCUGAGCUGCAUUGAGCCUAAGGGUCAGAGAUCUGGAUGGCCUUGAUGGGGUUAAAGUGAAAAUGAAGAGCAGAGGGAAAGCUGCCCCGAAUCCCUCUCUUCCUGAUGUGGAAAGAGAUCUCUAUUCCUUACUUCCUGAAGGAAAGAAAAUGAUCUGCUGCAGGAAAAUCAAGUUAGCAAGGGUGAGGAUCCAACCCAAACAGAUUGGUUACGACCGCAAAGAUUGUUAGCUCUAGGAUGGAGAAAAUCCUACUCAUGUCCUGUCUUACUCCAUAUGACUGCACUGAAGCCAACUUCAAUUACUGCUGUUGCGAUACUGCCCACUGCACAAUACUUGCACACACGCUGUUCAGAUGCUGCAAGAACCAGGAAAGUUUGGCAAACUCCUGGCCAAGCAGGCUAUCCUUCAAAUUAAAAUAGCCCCUUUUUCACUGUGAGGUUUGAACACAGCCCAGUUUCUCCUGUCAGUUGAUGUGACAUGAGUUUGAAGAUUUUCUAGGUAAAUUAGAUUUUUUAAAAUAAUUGAAAACAUAAAAGCUAAAAUACACAUAAAAAUUGAUUAGGUGUACUAUUAGUUAUUGCACUCUCAUUUUACUAGUGCUACACAUGAAUAGAGGUAAGAAAACAAUCAGAACUGGGGGGAGAUGUCUUGGGCGUAGCUCAGGAGAUCUGGAGACAGACAUCUUUAGGGAAGAAGAGUUGCAAAGAAGGCAUCAAAAUGGGGUUCAGUUGAACCAGUGUUUAAAGCUUUUAGAAAGUGCCUUUUUUUUUAGCAAGGUUUUAAAGUCAGUUAUCCUCACAGAAUUUGUUUUAUGCUUGUCUUGAGGAUGAAGAUAGCAAUAUUUCAUUAUUUAUCUGCCUCUUACCCUCAGUGUAGUCUCUGAAUGUGCAGGCCUCUCCUUGGCCCUGCAUUGGACACAAGAUGGCAGAUCUCUCUCUAUUGACAGGAAACAGGGAAGAGCACUCACCCUCGGUACUGGCUGCUCAGAAAGGGCAGCAAGACAUUACUCCUUGAAAGCAUGAGACAGUACAUUCCCCAACUGGCAGAGACAAUAACAAAGAAGAAAAAAAAUAAAAAUUGUGGAAAAUAGGUUAAUAUUUAGGAAUAACUUUCCCUUGCAGAGAGGGCUUGUGUUAGAUUUUAACUUCCAGAAAUGGAAGAAAAACGAACACUGCUUUUGGAAUUAACUUGGCAAAAUAGUUAGUUCCUGCCUGUCACCCAGACCGCAUGGUGGAGAUUGCCUUCAUGCAGACAGCGGGCUCACUCUUUCCCCAAAAUGGCUCUUUCAUUCUCUUUCAUCCUCUAGUAAAUAUAUCUGUCCAGCGCAACAGGCUUCCAGCACUUUUGAGUUAGAAAAGACAGGAAUUUUAGCACUAAUACAACAACAUCACUUUCUAGAUGAGCAAAAACUGUCUGCAGAAAGGGAAUGUCUGGAAACAGAGGCACAAGACCAGAGAGCCCCUAUCCUACCUUGUCUGAGUUCAGCUGCUGCACUGCUUGAAAGAUAUUUGGGAAAUGGGAAAGUAAAAGUAAGAUUCCAGUCCUGCAAAUACUGUUCAGGUUUCUGACAUGCUUAAACUUAACCACAUGCCUUUGUUUACAAUAAAGGGACCUAAAAUUA